AAAAGAUUACAAAACACUAUGACAUUUACAUCCAUUUGGCCACAGAACACACACACAAACACAGAAGCAGAAACAUCCAACUAUGAAGGCUCUAAACGACAGCAUGAAGAAAAGGAAAGAAAAAACAACAAGUUAAUCUAUAGUGAGAUUUAUCUUACAAAAAUGGAAUUUUCUAACCCUGAUAAGAAGAUAAUGGUCCAGAAAUACAAUGCGUGGAGUUUCAAAAAUGUCUGAAUCCAAUGUAAUAAAAGUAUAUUAUUCAUCUUUAUUCCUAA